rnacentral:rRNA from 1 species
UACGGAAGGCGCAGUGGGGAAUAUUGCACAAUGGGCGAAAGCCUGAUGCAGCUAUGCCGCGUGUAUGAAGAAGGCCUUAGGGUUGUAAAGUACUUUCAUCGGGGAGGAAAAAACAAAACUAAUAAUUUUAUUUCUUGACGUUACCCGAAAAAGAAGCACCGGCUAACUCCGUGCCAGCAGCCGCGGUAAUACGGAGGGUGCUAGCGUUAAUCAGAAUUACUGGGCGUAAAGAGCACGUAGGUGGUUUUUUUAAGUCAGAUGUGAAAUCCCUGGGCUUAACCUAGGAACUGCAUUUUGAAACUGAAAUACUAGAGUAUCGUAGAGGGAGGUAGAAUUCUAGGUGUAGCGGUGAAAUGCGUAGAUAUCUGGAGGAAUACCUGUGGCGAAAGCGGCCUCCUAAACGAAUACUGACACUGAGGGUGCGAAAAGCGUGGGGAGCAAAACAGGGAUUAGAUACC